rnacentral:lncRNA from 1 species
GCUAAAUUGGGACAAUUUGAUAAGGGUUAGGGUGGUACCUUUUUAACAUGGAGACAUGAAAGGUGUCAUGCAUACUAGUGAACUCUCAAGGCAGAGUAAAGUGGUAUGCCAUAGGGCCAACGCAUUCCAAAAUUUCCAUAAGACCAACAUAUCGAGGGCUCAGCUUCCCUUUCUUCCCAAACCUCAUCACUCUUUUGAAGGAAAAGACCUUAAUGAAUACUUGGUCACCAAUAGCGAACUCCAAAGGCCUCCUGCGGUUGUGAGGGUAACUCUUCUAGUGACUUUGGGCAGUGAGGAGGUUUUUCCGGAUAAGGUCCACUUUUUCAAUCGUCUCUUGCAUGAAGUUUGUCCUUAUAUACUGUCGGUUCCCAAUCUAAUUCCAGCAGGUAGGGGAUCGGCAUAGCCCACCAUAAAGAGCUUCAAAUAGAACCAUAUAAAUACUAGAAUCGUAACUGUUGUUGUAGGCAAACUCGCAGAG